UACGGGGGGAGCAAGCGUUGUUCGGAUUUACUGGGCGUAAAGGGCGCGUAGGCGGCGCGACAAGUCACUUGUGAAAUCUCUGGGCUCAACCCAGAACGGUCAAGUGAUACUGUCGUGCUAGAGUGCGGAAGGGGCAACUGGAAUUCUUGGUGUAGCGGUGAAAUGCGUAGAUAUCAAGAGGAACACCUGCGGCGAAGGCGGGUUGCUGGGCCGACACUGACGCUGAGGCGCGAAAGCUAGGGGAGCAAACGGG
rnacentral:rRNA from 1 species